rnacentral:rRNA from 1 species
AUGAAAAGGGGCAGGAGGAACGAGAAGGGUAAGAAGCUUGCGGGCAAGGCCGCGGCAAGGGCUCUCGUGUGGCUUCUGCUUCCUGUCCUCGUCUUCGUGGUGCUCAACUCUGAUCACAUGCCGCAGGUUCCUCUUCAAGCAACAACUCUUUAUUUGGUCGGCCAUGCACCACCACCUUCUCCCGCAUCAAGCGAUCAGACGCCCGGCGAGGCCGUCGAUGCACCACCUUCUCCCACAUCACGCCAUGAACCUCCCGGCAAAGUCGUCGGCGUACCACCUUCUCCCACAACAAGCGACCAGACACCCAGCGUGGCCGUCGAUGCACCACCUUCCGUCGCAUCACGUGACGAGGCGCCCGGCGACGCCAUCGGUGCGAACAAAAGUCAAGGCGACGUCGCCCGUCGACGAGAUACAGAUGUGGCAGCACCAAGAAGCAAGUCAAUCUGCGACUUCAGCAGCGAACGCAUGGAUGUCUGCGCCAUGCAAGGCGAUGUCCGUAUGCACGGCAAAUCCGCCACCGUGUACGUGGUCUCAGCGUCCGACGACAGCUACCGGCCAGAGAACGGGACGGUGAAGAUCCGCCCAUACCCGCGCAAAUCCGAGGAAGGAACGAUGCGGACUAUCCGGGAGGUGACCAUCCGCUGGAGCGGCCUGGAUGCGCCACGGUGCACGGUGACGCACAACGUCCCCGCGGUGGUCUUCUCCACCGGCGCCUACCUCAGCAACUUUUUCCACGCCAUGACCGACGGCAUCAUCCCUCUCUUCAACACUGUGAGGGAGUACGAUGGGCAUGUCCAGCUUGUGGUCACCGACUACAACCACAAGUGGGUCGACAAGUUCAAAGACAUCCUCGCCGCGCUCUCCAAGUACCCGGUCAUCAACUUCGACGCCGAUGACAAGGUGCGUUGCUUCCCGUCGGUGCAUGUCGGCACCGAAGGCCAUAAGGAGAUGGGGAUCAUCCCUGCUCUCUCCCGCAAGGGCUACACGAUGACGGACUUCCGGAACUUUCUCCGGUCGGUCUACUCGCUGAAGCGUGAGUGGUCGACCCCCAUAAACCGGACCACCGGUGACAGGCCUCGCCUCCUCAUGAUUCUACGCCGCAACUCGAGGACGUUUGCGAAUGAGGCGGAGGCCGUCGCAGCUGCCAUAGAGGUCGGCUUCGAGGUGGUGUCGGCCGAGCCACAGGUAGUGAGCGACAUGGCCCGGUUCGCAGAGGUCGUGAACUCGUGCGACGUGAUGGUGGGCGUGCAUGGCGCGGGGCUCACCAACCUGCUGUUCCUCCCACGCAACGCCACAUUGGUGCAAGUCGUCCCGUGGGGCGACAUGAGCUGGGGGUCCAAUGCUGCCUUUGGUGCACCGUCGGCUGACAUGGGGCUCCGGUAUGUCCAGUACGAGACGACCCCUGAGGAGACGACCCUCAAGUACAAAUACCCGAGGGACCAUGCCGUCUUCACCAACGUCGCCUCCAUAAACAGGCAGGGGUACGGCAUGACGUGGGGGCUCUUCCUCAACGGCCAGAACAUCACCCUCGACAUCGACCGCUACAGAGGGGUGCUGCAGAAAAUCUACCAUGAUAGUAUAAUGGUCGAUCCUUCAUUUAAUUCUGGCCCGGUCGUCGAAGCGCCACCUUCUCCCGCAUCAAGCGGCGAGACACCCGGCGACGUUCUCGAUGGGAACAGAGAUCUCCAAAACGAGAUGAACGCGGGAGUAGAUGCUUCUUUGAUAAAAUCAGAUGUGGCAGCACCGAGAAGCAAGUCAAUUUGCGACUUCAGCAGUGAACGCAUGGACAUCUGUAACAUGCAAGGCGACGUCCGUAUGCACGGCAAGUCCGCCACUGUGUACGUGGUCUCAGUGUCUGAUGACAGCUACCGUCCAGAGAACGGGACGGUGAAGAUCCGCCCGUACCCGCGCAAGUCGGAGGAAGGAACGAUGCAGACUAUCCGGGAGGUGAGCAUCCGCUGGAGCGAGCUGGAUGCGCCACGGUGCACGGUGACGCACGACGUCCCCGCGGUUGUCUUCUCCACCGGGGCCUACCUCAACAACUUUUUCCACGCCAUGACCGACGGCAUCAUCCCUCUCUUCAACACUGUGAGGGAGUACGAUGGCCACGUCCAGCUUGUGAUCACCGACUACAACCGCAAGUGGGUUGACAAGUUCCAACGCAUCCUUGCCGCGCUCUCCAAGUACCCGAUCAUCAACUUUGACACCGACGAAAAGGUGCGUUGCUUCCCGUCGAUGCACGUCGGCACCGAAGGCCAUAAGGAGAUGGGGAUCAUCCCUGCUCUCUCCCGCAAGGGCUACACGAUGACGGACUUUCGGAAAUUUCUUCGGUCGAUCUACUCGCUGAAGCGUGAGUGGUCGACCCCUGUAAACCGGACCUCCGGUGACAGGCCUCGCCUCCUCAUGAUUCUGCGCCGCAACUCGAGGGCGUUCGCGAAUGAGGCGGAGGCCGUCGCAGCUGCCAUAGAGGUCGGCUUCGAGGUGGUGUCGGCGGAGCCGCAGGUCGUGAGCGACAUGGCCCGGUUCGCAGAGGUCGUGAACUCGUGCGACGUGAUGGUGGGUGUGCAUGGCGCGGGGCUCACCAACCUGGUGUUCCUCCCGCGCAACGCGACGUUGGUGCAGGUCGUCCCGUGGGGCGACAUGAGCUGGGGAUCCAAUGCUGCCUUUGGUGCACCGUCGGCUGACAUGGGGCUCCGGUACGUCCAAUACGAGACGACCCCCGAGGAGACGACGCUCAAGUACAAAUACCCGAGGGACCAUGCUAUCUUCACCGAUGUCGCCUCCAUAAACAGGCAGGGGUACGGUAUGACGUGGGAGCUCUUCCUCAACGGCCAGAACAUCACCCUCGACAUCAACCGCUAUAGAGGGGUGUUGCAGCAAAUCUACCAUGAUAGUAUAAUGGUCGAUACUUCAGCUAACUAG